ACAUCCAGCGAACUUGGCAGAGAUGCCUUGGUGCCUUUCGGGAACGCUGAGACAGGUGCUGCAUGGCUGUCGUCAGCUCGUGUUGUGAAAUGUUGGGUUAAGUCCCGNAACGAGCGCAACCCUUUAUCCUUUUGUUGCCAGCGAUUCGGUCGGGAACUCAAAGGAGACUGCCGGUGAUAAACCGGAGGAAGGUGGGGAUGACGUCAAGUCAUCAUGGCCCUUACGAGUAGGGCUACACACGUGCUACAAUGGCGCAUACAAAGAGAAGCGACCUCGCGAGAGCAAGCGGACCUCAUAAAGUGCGUCGUAGUCCGGAUCGGAGUCUGCAACUCGACUCCGUGAAGUCGGAAUCGCUAGUAAUCGUGGAUCAGAAUGCCACGGUGAAUACGUUCCCGGGCCUUGUACACACCGCCCGUCACACCAUGGGAGUGGGUUGCAAAAGAAGUAGGUAGCUUAACCUUCGGGAGGGCGCUUACCACUUUGUGAUUCAUGACUGGGGUGAAGUCGUAACAAGGUAGGCGUAGCGAG
rnacentral:rRNA from 1 species